GGGCGGUUAGCUCAGCGGUAGAGCACUACCUUGACAUGGUAGGGGUCACUGGUUCGAUCCCAGUACCGCCCA
rnacentral:tRNA from 1 species